GCUCCGGUGGCUUAGUGGUUAGAGCGACCGACUCGGAUGCGGAAGGUCGCAGGUUCGAACCCCGGCCGAGUCA